CCCUGGUGGUCUAGUGGUUAG
rnacentral:ncRNA from 2 species